UUCAACUGUGGAAAACCACUCAGGAACAACUUCCGGACCUGACGACGACAAACGUUUCCCGUCAUUCUGUGCCGGGACACUCCCUUUCCUUCCAGCCGGCUAACGCUGGCAAUUCACCGCUGCUUUUCAUGAACAAAAAGACCCCCUGCUUUUCCUUCCUGCCGCCCCAAUUGUGUAUCCAAGAGCCCCAGAGCAAAAAACAUAAAAUGGUGGACCCACCAAUGGAGGUGAUGUGAAAGCCCGGUGGUGCCUUCAGGGUCCUUCUUGUCCAUCCGUUCCUGAGCACUUGGAGGUGAUCUUCGCGGCCGCUAAUGAGCAGCACAUGCUCCUGGAGCCAGCCCAGGAAGAAUACCUCCACCAGGGCCCGGAGGCCUCGUCCUGUUGUGAUGAAACACCUGCAUGUUCUGGCUCCAAGGAACCAAUCAGGAGUGGGGGCUUUAUUGAUGCACUAUCCCCCAAAGACAUUAUGCAUCAUAGGAAACCACGCUGCUGCUGUUAGCCUCCUCGUCAUCAGACCCAGUGCCAUGCAGACUUGACAUUUUUAUUAGUACUAUCUAUUCAGUAACACAAUCCACACAUUUAAAUCUUUAUUUGUAAAUGGAACAUGAUAUUAAGUCUUUGUGUGUGUGUGUGUGUGUGUGUGUGUGUGUGUGUGUGUGUGUGUGUGUGUGUGUGUGUGUGUGUGUAAAGAAUUUGCUCAGACAGGAAAGGAAAUGAAAUAUUUUUUUGUCUAUGUUAUCAUAUGGUUACUGCUCCUUUGGCAGACUAGUUAACAUUUUAUGGAAACUGAUUGUUGCCAUUUUGUAGUGUUCUAUAAAAUUAAAUAAAGUAUUUUAAAAAAAUGGAUAGGAAAGGAAUGUUCCCAAGCAAAAACGGUGAAAGGCAGCCUCAUAGGUAUGAACAUGGGUAGAUAUGACAAGCCCCUUUUGAGGUGCAAGCCUACGGCGACGCUAAGCUAGUAGAGGCAAAGUCGUCAGUGCAUUCUAGGUGGAGCGCAAAACCGAAAGAACAAGGAUGGUAUUGUUACAAAGAAAUCUGAGACCAGAAAAAUUGCAACCAGGAGGCUACCAGGGGCCAA